ensembl:lncRNA
GAACUAUUCUGUCAUGAUAGACAUCAGAAUAUAGUUACCUUGGCGACUGGCUAGUGAGGGACACGAGGAAGUGUUCCGGCGGAUGGAAAUGUCUGUAUGUUUCUUGACCUGGGUGGAGGUUACAUGAACAUAUACACAAGAAAAAAUUCAUUAUGCAUCUUACUGAUGAGGGAAACUGGCGGUGUAGCCAAAAGAGGUUGGAAGUGACACUGCCCGCUGCAUCGCGAGUUCCAGAUUCCCUUCUCGGGUCCUGUGUUAUUUGUCAUUCUUGAGAGAUGCCAGGCAAGAGCAGAGAACAAGAGAACAAGUUUGUGAACUUCUUGUCACCAACAGACAACUGAGACCCAAACAAAUGUCAGUGUUACUCUGAGAAGAAAAUAAUGGAGUGAUCCCCAAGAAAAAAAGCUCUGCAUAAUAUCAUAGCUUCUGAGGUUUGGAAAAUGUCCCUGGUGUCUGGAAAAAAAUGGAGAGAAUCACUUUACUCUUUCAGAUUAACUGGCAUUUCCAUCACCUCCAAAGCCGUUAGUGUUUAUAAAUACAUUAAUAAAAGAUUCUGAAACUCCCUUGGUGAAAGGUGAGUGUGGGUUCACAAUCCAAGAAGGCUGCACUUAAGAAGGAUUUUAACAGUAAGAAGUAGUAAGUGCCUUCUCGGUAACCUACGUGAGCCUGUCAACAGACUGCUUUCAUUUCAUUUCACAUCCUUUCCACUUGAGCAACA